UAUUCCUACGGGGGGCAGCAGUGAGGAAUAUUAGUCAAUGGGCGCAAGCCUGAACCAGCCAAGUCGCGUGAGGGAUGACGGUCCUAUGGAUUGUAAACCUCUUUUGUCGGGGAGCAAGGCCCGCCACGUGUGGCGGGAAGGAGAGUACCCGAAGAAAAAGCAUCGGCUAACUCCGUGCCAGCAGCCGCGGUAAUACGGAGGAUGCGAGCGUUAUCCGGAUUUAUUGGGGUUAAAGGGGGCGUAGGCGGACUAUUAAGUCAGCGGGAAAAGCCCGGGG
rnacentral:rRNA from 1 species